CAGAAAAUUAGGCAUAUCUCGACAGUUUUUCUUUUGUGGAGGGUUGAACGAUAUUGAGUAUUUUCAAGAGUUGAGCAGUUGAUUGAAGGGAGGUUGCUCAUUGUACUUGAGGUGUGGAGAGAGAGCCGCGAGCGGAUCGCUCAGGCAGAUGCAUUGCGAGUGUGGGCACGUUUGGAAAUGGACGGGUUGAAAGUAAAUAUUUGUCAGAUUACUGGGCCAAAGGCGCAGCCGCCAGACUCUGAGGACAUGCGGGAGGGACGCCGACCUGCAUUUGGACACGUGUGAGUACUGAGCUGUGUGGUGUGCUUGAAGAGCUGAUGUCUGAUGUCACGUUGCACCACAAGUGGAGAGUAGACAAUCACAAAAGCAGAGGAAAAAGUUGCAAG